rnacentral:rRNA from 1 species
AACGAACGCUGGCGGCAUGCCUAACACAUGCAAGUCGAACGAUCCCUUCGGGGAUAGUGGCGCACGGGUGCGUAACGCGUGGGAACCUGCCCUUAGGUUCGGAAUAACUCAGAGAAAUUUGAGCUAAUACCGGAUAAUGUCUUCGGACCAAAGAUUUAUCGCCUUUGGAUGGGCCCGCGUUGGAUUAGCUAGUUGGUGGGGUAAAGGCCUACCAAGGCGACGAUCCAUAGCUGGUCUGAGAGGAUGAUCAGCCACACUGGGACUGAGACACGGCCCAGACUCCUACGGGAAGCAGCAGUGGGGAAUAUUGGACAAUGGGCGAAAGCCUGAUCCAGCAAUGCCGCGUGAGUGAUGAAGGCCUUAGGGUUGUAAAGCUCUUUUACCCGGGAUGAUAAUGGCAGUACCGGGAGAAUAAGCCCCGGCUAACUCCGUG